GAGAUUCUGCAGGCUUUUCAGGGCUGCCACCUGUCUAUGUUGCAAUCUCCUCUAAGGCUGGAGACGCUGAGUUUCUUCUCUAUUUUCCUGGCAGGUGUCCUGCUAGACAUCCAGCAGCAUUUUGGAGUCAAAGACAGUGGAGCUGGCUUGCUACAAACGGUUUUUAUCUGUAGUUUCAUGGUGGCAGCCCCUAUAUUUGGUUACCUUGGUGACCGUUUCAACCGAAAGAUCAUUCUCAGCUGUGGGAUCUUCUUCUGGUCAGCCAUCACCUUUUCAAGUUCCUUCAUCACUGAGCAGUACUUCUGGCUCCUUGUCCUCUCACGAGGUUUGGUUGGCAUUGGUGAAGCCAGUUACUCCACCAUCGCUCCCACCAUCAUAGGAGACCUUUUUACCAAAAACACCAGGACCCUCAUGCUGUCUGUCUUCUACUUUGCGAUCCCUCUGGGCAGUGGUUUAGGAUACAUCACUGGAUCAAGUGUGAGGCAGGUAGCAGGAGACUGGCACUGGGCAUUGCGGGUAUCUCCACUGCUGGGUAUGAUCACAGGGACGCUCAUCUUAAUAUUGGUACCUGCUGCUAAAAGAGGCAACGGUGAACAGCUGGGGGGACAGCUGAAGGCUAGGACCUCAUGGCUAAGAGACAUGAAGGCACUGUUCAGAAACCGCAGUUAUGUGUUCUCGUCACUGGCCACCUCGGCUGUCUCCUUCGCCACAGGGGCGCUGGGCAUGUGGAUCCCCCUCUACCUUCACAGAGCACAGGUGGUGCAGAAGACGGUGGAGACCUGCAGUUUCCAGCCCUGUAGCACCAAGGACAGUUUGAUCUUUGGAGCAAUCACAUGCUUCACAGGCUUUCUGGGUGUGAUCACAGGGGCUGGUGCAACCAAAUGGUGCCGCUUAAAAACACAACGAGCUGAUCCUCUCGUCUGUGCUGUGGGCAUGCUGGGUUCAGCCAUCUUCAUCUGUCUGAUCUUCGUCGCUGCUAAGAGCAGUAUUGUGGGAGCCUAUAUUUGCAUUUUUAUCGGUGAAACUCUUCUGUUUUCGAACUGGGCUAUCACAGCAGACAUACUGAUGUACGUGGUCAUCCCAACACGCCGUGCAACCGCAGUGGCCUUGCAGAGCUUCACCUCGCACCUUCUGGGAGACGCUGGCAGCCCCUACCUGAUCGGAUUUAUCUCCGACCUGAUCCAACAGAGCACGAAGGAGUCCCCGCUCUGGGAGUUUCUCAGCCUGGGCUAUGCCCUCAUGCUCUGCCCCUUUGUCAUCGUCCUGGGAGGCAUGUUCUUCCUGGCCACAGCCCUCUUCUUCCUAAGUGACCGAGUCAAAGCUGAACAACAUAAAGAAACCGAUUCGGACCACCUCACUGUUGGCAACUACAGUAACUCAGAAGACGCUUCCACAUGACACACACAGUUUUGGGGGUGAAUCAACUCAUGAUGCCACCAGCCUCUGUGAAAGUCUGAGAUGCUGACACAAAGGACUCUGGCUUCCAUGCUGACGGCCCCGGCUGGGAACAACGCACCAGUACCAGACACAAGCAGGACCUCCGUGAUGCAGCCAAAGUCCUCUCCAACACCAAACCAAUCCCUUUGUUCUUACCUCCAGGGUCAAGCUAGAAGAGGUGGCCUGGAUCCCAGUGCUUGUGCACACAAGGCUACUGAUGGGUUUCCCCAGACUGCCGUACUUUGGAAGGGGCUGCCUGCGGGACCCCGCUCCUGCACUACGCCCCAGCGAGCGACUGUAGCUUGUGUAUACGGUUUUAGAGUUAGCCAGUGAAGAAGUCCACAUGACCUACAGGGCAGCUCCUGCUCAAUGCUGCCUGCUGUCAGCGCGACCACCCCUUUGGCCAGAGACCGUGCAAUGGUGGGGACCUCUUCUGUACAUCAUGGCCUCUCGCUCGACACUGAAGGCUCAGCCCAGAUUUUUAGUAUUAUUUAAACAUCCUCAGAUGCUUUAUCUCUGCUGAAGACGUCACAUAUCAGAUCUCUAUCUCUAUAGCUAGAUAAAUAGUUUUAUUUAAACUUUGGGCAUCUGAAGCGGCCAGUGCAAUGGCAGGACAUGAAAAGCUCCACUUCUCUGUGCAUCUUGGCACUGCAGCCUUGGUUCCAAAAAGGGCUCCAGGGUAGCACUCCCAAAAGGUGGCAGAGACAUUCACGCAACAGCACUUUGCUUACGGGAGCAGCCCCGGGGCUGGCACAGGGCUGCAUCGCUGCUGGAAGGAGAAGUCUCUCACUGCACCAGGUGGGACUGUUAUGGCAAGGCCAGGAAAGUCCUGGCCACUUAUAUGUAAUGGCUUUUUAUUUUGUUUAACCCAUUUUGUUUUACCCUGCCCAGAAGGUUUACAAGCCUCUAAAAUACCAAAAUCCACAUGUGAAGGAACUGCUGUACCCAGAGCCUGGUACGGCAGUGCUGCUGUGCCACUGAAGGUGUUGGGUCAUUUAUAUGGAUAUCAUACGACAUCAUUAGCUUAUUGCAGCUGCAAAUGAUUUGCUCCCAGUAUUUAUCCCUAUCCAGCAACUGCAUUUCCACAAGGAUGGUAGUGUGUCCUUGUUUACUCCAUCUGUUGGAGUACUUAAGGUCACUUUGAUCUGUACAGUGGUGCAGGUGGCAUGGUUUUAAUUCACUGGUGUGAUGGGCUAAAAACAGAGCUCUAGGUAGUCACAGGCUCAUUUGUAUUUGGGCCUCUCCAACCCAUCUUUGGUUCGCACAUGACAGACAGGCACGUUUACAGUGAGCCGGCAGGUGUGUUACAGCUGUGGCAGGAGGAGGCAAGUACAAAUGGUCCCAAUAAAGGACGCAAGGUUGCUAGUGGCAACAGUUGUCCAACCACCUGGUUCGGGUCUCCUAAGUAGAUGCACUUUCCUUGAGUUUCCUAGCAUAUGCCCAGCACUUAGUUCUUUUGGAAACCACACCUGAUUAGCAAAGGAAUCGCCAACCCUGUUAGUUGGAUAUGCCUUUAAUAAUGUUACAAGCUAGCCGUCUGGAGAACAUGGCUUAGGUUCGUCCUCUCCAAUACAACGAGGAGUGCUGUUUAAUUGGCCAGCAUCCCCAAAGAGCACGGGUAUCUACGUAAAAAGCAGUCGGGGUCCACCCACCCCUUCCACUUCCAAGCCCUGUAGCAACUUUGGCUUCCUUGCACAAUACCCCUGCUGCACUCCCAGCAGGGGUAUUCUGCAGAAUACCUUGCAGAAUAUCCCAGCAGCACUUCCAUAUUUUUCAAGACCAGCAUCGAUAGAGGGCUAAAGGUUUCCUCCCUCUGCAGUCCUACUGGACUCUUCCUCAAAGGCAGCCCCUUCCCAGAUUACUUCAGUCAGCUUAAAAAAUAAGUUGUGGGUCAGGCAAACAAUUGGAGACAGGAAUCCAACCACUACUACUUGCUGGCCCCUAGGGAACUGCAAAUGCCACUCAAGUUCAGCUAAAAUAAUAAGCAAAGCAAAGUCAAGACAAUGCUUUGUGCCACGGUGUGCCGUUAUUUACUCUGGUCGAGGGAAAUGUCAGCGCUGCAGUCUGGCAGCCAAAUGCCUGGCUUUGGAAGGAUGGGAAUUUCUCACUCUCAUUAAGCCGUUCCCUGUUACACCGUAAAAGAAAACAAUUAGUCACUUAAUCUCAGAGGCCAAAAGGAAGAUUAGCAGCGUUUCCUCCGUUAUUGUCUGAAGUGCUUAAUGGCGUGGAGGGUAAGGCUGUAACUCGGAAACCGGCUGUUCCAGCUAACGCCUGUCAAAGGCAGGGCUUUGGCAUGUGCCGAGACUUCGUUCCCAUGGACUUGGUGGGGAUGAAGAGCCUAUACGAUGCACCUUCAGUUGGCAGCGUUUUCUUUCUUCUCCUCGGCAGGAAGGCAAAGCUACUUUGGAACGUGGUGACUGCACUUCCUAGAAACACAAAGCCAGGCAGCGAGAUGUUUCGCGUACUUUUUUCCUUGGUGCAAGUGAAUGGAGACUUAAUUCAGUGUCAGGGCCCACAGCCCAACCCCAGCGGCCCAUAAACGCUUGGAGCAGGACUCAGGGCCUACCAUAAAGCAGGCGGCUGGGAGAACCAAAGAUGGGUUGGACGAAGGUGACAGUGCUGUAAACAGCCCUUCUCUGCCUGCAGGUGAAGGGGGCUUGGCCUGGCAGCCACCUGUUUCUAGCCCCAGAUGGGCUCUUUCAGCUGUUCCCAUUCAAGCUUGUAAUACAGAUCUCUUGUCUGAGAGGGAAACCAGAUGAUUCAGGUGAAGAGUCUCUGGGGUUCAGACCACACCUGAGAUUAACCAAGUCGAGUCCCACUCAGAAGAGGAGCAGGUCACUAGAAGGGAGGUUAGGGGUGGAGAACCGUGCAUGCUCCUUCCCGGUGCCAUCAUGUGCCAGUGUCUCAUCUCCUUGUUGUAAAGCUGUACACGACGGUAACACCUGGGUCCUAGUCCGAGCUCUGCCAGUGCACAACAGUAGGCCAGUCUGUCCCACAGCUCCACUUUCCCAUCUGUAGAAUGGACCCACUUGCCUGCAGGAUCUCUCUCCAUCCUGCUUUGACAAACGGCUGAACCUCCCUAUGUUUUGUGGUAACCACAUCAAGCACUGUGCCCUGCACGAGGCUGUCUGGGGCCAAUGCUAAGUAGCACUCAACUAUCCUUCCCUCCCCUGGUGCUGGGUGCAGCUUGCUGGGGGAGGAUCUCCGUUUGUGACAGUUUGGGCAAAGCGCUCGAGUUCUUGGGGGUUUCCUGCCCAUGAGGAAUUUCCAAAAAGUCAGAGCAGAACCACCAACCAACCCAGCAGCUGUCACUGUACCAGGAUCCAGAUGGUCCAACAGGAUCCUGUCACUUAAAUAAGCCCAAACUGCAGAAGCCAUUAGCACUGCCUUGUGCAUGUCUCUGGUUUGCAGGCAUGUGUUCGUAAGCUGGCUUCUGCUGGUGGAAGGAGUUGCUGCAGGGAUGAGGGAGAGCCAUGCUUUCAUUUGCCUGCAGAGAUCUUGCUGAAUGCCCCAGUCUCUAACCCCCCCCCCCCGCUGAGAUCUGCGCCACUUAUCCACAGAGGCAGGGGUUUAUGAGCCCAGCUCAGGAUGGAAGCAGAACGUGUCAGCUGCGCAGCGCUGAGCUGCUUACACUCAUCACCUCAGUUUGGAAACACUUUGCUCUGAUUUACAUGCUUUAAGCAUCCGUCACAGCUCGGGGAACGAGCUUGGGGCAGUUUCUGUAUUAGGCCCAUCUCACUUACUGGAAUGGGCUUUUUUAGCCAAAUUAAAUGGGUCCCCCCUACACUGGGUGGGGCAGGGGGCAGCUCUGAAGCUGCCUCCAGCACAUCAGUGAUGCUGCAUUUCUGGUGAGGCCCCUGGGUCCUGGGUUGGCCUUGAAGGAUGUUUAGCAGCUCAAACUAAGGACCAGGUUGGGAACACUUUAGCCGGGACCUAACGCCUUCCACAUCAGCUUGGGCCAGGCUGCCGCUGAGUACACCCUGCUGCCUCCCUCCCUUCCCGGGGGGGCUCAGGCCAGACCUACCACCACUCAGGGCUGUGACCAUCUUCCUCAGUGACCUUCAGUCUCCUGUCUUCAGCCUGUCAGCAGUAAUGCUUUCCAUGCUCCGUUUAGUAUCUCGGCAGUCUCUGGCUGCUAUGGCAUUUCCAGGGUAGGGGCCGAAGAUGGGGUGCUGGCCUGCUGCAUUCAUCAGCAGCAUGGGGUGGGGCUCACGAGGAGCCUGGGGAGGGUUAUGAUGCCCCCAGCCAGGACAGCUGUUUGCAGCAGUGCGAGUGCUUCACUCCUGACCGCUUUACCCAAAAGCAUUCCUCCUCUGCUGCCAACAGCUGCCUUGGCACCCGGGUGGCCACUGCUGAGGCAGCAGGGCCGCUGCUGCACAGGGAGAGGGGAAAGAGCUGGUUCAAAGCAGCCAGACACCUGCAAACACUGCAACCAAAGUGCAGAGCUGUUCCCCACCACCAUCAUGCCUCCUGAGCCUGUACUCCCAGGGCCUGGCCUGUUCAAACCCACUGCCUGCUUGCCUGCGUGAAGGCUGAAGGGCUGGACCCGGGAGUUGCUUGUCUCAGUUGCGCACCAGCCGUGAAGGGAACCUCACAGCAGUGCAAGCUGCUGGCUGAUCAAAGUGGCCACCGUCUGGCACGCUGAAGUCCCUGGUUAUCUGGUUCUCCUCCGUUGGCUUUCUUGGUGUGUAAACCAGCACUUACAAUCACUGUUACCGCGCGAGGUCCAGGGUCUGUCUAUGAUUUCUUGUUAUACAAGGGAGAAGUAUGAAAUAGUUUUCUGAUUUCUUUCAGAAGCAAAUUACUAUUUUAUUUUUUAAGAGCAGCUGAUUGCAAAUCUCAGAGUAUAAGAAGAGAGAAAUAAAGCCAAAUAUAUACCUUUAUGUAAAUUAACGAAUAAACAUAUUUAAAACCUA